GAUGAAGAACGUAGCGAAAUGCGAUAAGUAAUGUGAAUUGCUGAAUUCAGUGAAUCAUCGAAUCUUUGAACGCACCUUGCGCUCCUUGGUAUUCCGAGGAGCAUGCCUGUUUGAGUGUCAUUAAUAUAUCAACCUUCUCUUUUUUGAGUUGUUUGGAUGUGGGGGUUUGCUGGCCUCUUAAAUGAUUCAGCUCCCCUGAAAUGCAUUAGCAGAACAACCUGUUCAUUAGCGUGAUAAUUAUCUAUGCUAUUGAAUGUGAGGGCAGUUCAGCUUUCUAACCGUCCUUGGACAAUUCAUCAUUAAUGUGACCUCAAAUCAGGUAGGACUACCCGCUGAACUUAAGCAUAUCAAUAAGCGGAGGA
rnacentral:misc_RNA from 1 species